GACGAACGCUGGCGGCGUGCUUAACACAUGCAAGUCGAACGGUGAAGCGCCUUCCUUUUUGGUGGGUGUGGAUGAGUGGCGAACGGGUGAGUAACACGUGAGUAACCUGCCCCCUUCUUCUGGAUAACCGCAUGAAAGGGUGGCUAAUACGGGAUAUUCUGGGUCUGUCGCAUGAUGGGUCUGGGAAAGAUAUUGUUUCGGUUGGGGAUGGGCUCGGGGCCUAUCAGCUUGUUGGUGGGGUGGUGGCCUACCAAGGCGGUGGCGGGUAGCGGGAGUGAGAGGGUGGACGGUCACACUGGGACUGAGACACGGCCCCGACUCCGACGGGAGGGAACGGCGGCGGAUGGUGCAAAAUGGGAACAAGCCUGAUGCAGCGGCGGCGAGUGAGGGAUGGGGGCCUUCGGGUUGUGAAUCUCUUUCGCUAGUGAAGCAGGCCUGCCUUGUUUGUGGGUGGGUUGACGGUAGCUGGAUAAGAAGCGCCGGCUAACUACGU
rnacentral:rRNA from 1 species